UUAUAGUUUCGUCAUGUCCGUCUGUCCGUCUGUCCGUCUGUCCGUCUGUCACAGCCGAUUUACUCGGAAACUAUAAGUACUACAGUGAUGAAAUUUGAUGGGAAUAUGUGUUGUAUGAACCGCUACAAAAAUAUGACACUAAAUAGUAAAAAAAAGAAUUGGGGGUGGGGCCCCCCAUACAUGUAACUGAGGGAUGAAAUUUUUUUUUUCGAUGUACAUACCCGUGUGGGGUAUCAAUGGAAAGGUCUUUUAAAAUGAUAUAAAGUUUUCUAAAAAACAUUUUUCUUAAAGUGAACGGUUUUUGAGAUAUCAGCUCUCAAAGUCGUAAAAAGUAUGUCCCCCCCCCUCUAUUUUUAUAACUACGGGGUAUAAAAUUCUAAAAAAAAUAGAGGUGAUGCAUGCUAAUUAACUCUUUCAACGAUUUUUGGUUUGAUCAAAGUAUCUCUUAUAGUUUUUGAGAUAGGUUGAUUUAACUGUAAUUUACGGAACCCUUCGUGCACGAGUCCGACUCGCACUUGGCCGGUUUUUUUAAUUGUAUCAUGCCCUUCGUUUUUUCAUUUGUUAUAUUCUACUUUCACUAUUGGAAAACUACACUAUCCCCGAGUAACAUAGGCUAUAUAUUUCGUCCUGGUACGGGCAUAAAUUCUUCAGGGAUGCGAGUGAAACCGCGGGAAAGCAGCUAGUAAUGUAAUAAAGAUUUUAUUUUAUUUAUUUAGGUAAAUUACGAGCCAUAAAAUGAUGUCUUCUUCUUAUUUUUAUUUAUGACUAUAUCGUUAUUUUUGAAGAUUCUGCCAACUUCAAGGACACUGACACUGUAAUUGGUGAGAAAAAUAAAUGGAUUUAAAUCUAAGAGGAUGACAUAUUGCAACAAUACAUAUAGCGUAUUUGGACGAAUACUUGUCUAUGCUUAGAAUAAUAUUUCAAUGAACUAUACAGUACGGAAGCUUGAAUUGCCUUUUUUGGGCUAAUGUACGGAGGAAGGAAAGAUAGCGGAGAUGCCACGAGGAAUAUAGGUCAGGUGCCUACUUCAACGUACGGUGAUCAGUUACUAGAACUAACGAGACGUUCGGGUUCCUUCUCAAAUCAAACUCAAUCUGUCAAAGAUUGGUCGCGAUUGAUUGGAGAUUUUAUUUUGAAAAUAAUGUGCCGGUUCCAUAGAAUUUCUUCUUCUUCUCCCUUUGCAUUGUAUAGAUUUACAGAUAAACUUUCUUGCAUUGUAUAAUUCUGUGAGCAUACUAUUGUUAUGUAAUAGACUGUUUGUACUGUGACUAUAUUACUUUUUAAAAAGAGUGUCUAUGGAGUUUCUUGCCGGCUCUUCUCCAUGAGACCAACUUUUUGGAACCGUGCAACUAAUGUGACGUUUCAUAGGUGCCUGCAAAGGCCUAUGUGAAAUAAAAAGAUUUUGAUUUUGAUUUUGAUUUUGAAGGCGUAUAAGGGAGCAAGUAACGUUCCUCGUCCCCCGAACACCCGCAUUUUGGCGCGCUACUUUCUUAGGAGAUUUUGCGUUAUGACAUCUCCAUUAUGUCAUUUUGUUCUCUAUGGGCACUAUGGGCUAAUAAUAAUCUGUCUGGGCUCUUAUUAACUUUUAUUAUCUUGACCGCGUUUUUGUACUAUUUACACUGUAGUGCUAACUUGUUUUGUCACUCCAAAUUGCAUUUAUUUUUUGAUUUUGUUCGUAUUGAAUCAAUAGCAGAAGUUAUGUUUUAUUUUGUAUAUGUAGGACGUAGGUAUAAUAUAAACGUGUAAAUUUAAGGCAUAAACUAAAUAUAUUCUGUGAGCGAUAGUCGUGUUCAUAUUGAUAAUGAAGUUUAUAUAUAUUUUGUUAUUUUUCGUUAUGAUUGUCGUCAGUUUUGGUAAGAAGGAUAAAUUGUUAAGACAUCAACAACACAGCGGUGUAGGUAUGUAUCUAUUAAUAUACGAGAUUACAACCUUUUUGAAAAUUUACCUAAUUAUAGUGGAACGGCACCCAGAGAAAAGAUGAAUGUCGUCUGAACCAUGUCCUCCUGUCCUUAUCCUAAUUUUAUUUGGGGUCGGCGCAGCAUGUUUUCUCCUUGUAUACUUUUCUAUCUGCCGCAAUCUCCCAAGUAACAUUCUUUCUUACCAUAUCCGACCGAAGAAACGAUGGAUGGAUUGUGUGAAAGUUCACACGAUCCAUCCAUCGUUUCUUCGGUCCUCUUUCCCAAUACCCGUCUACGUUCAUGCUCAUCACCUUCCUCACAACAUGACUCUCAUUCCUUCGCAUCACAUGCCUAAUAUGCAAAUAUGCCAUACCAUGACAUCUGAAACAUUUAUCAUAAAAAGACAAGGGAAGGAAAUGAUUAGAAUUGCCCUUUAUGUAGACGAUAUAAUGAUUUGGGCUGCUGAGCACGAGGUCUCGGGUUCGAUUCCCGGGUUGGGCCGAAAUCGCUUUGUGAGUUUUCUUAAACUUUCACAAUGCAGCCCGUAGUCUGGAAGUUGGUGAUUGAUACACGCGUGCAUCGAAGAGCACGUUACUGUCGGUCCUGCGCCUGAUCUCUUUCCGGUCGUGUCGGAUUGCCGUCCCAUCGGGUUAUGAGAGCGAAGGAAUAGGGAGUGCACCUGUGUCUGCGCAAAUGCUCGUGUACUAUAAUAUGUUCUGCGCAGCUGGCUGAUCUCCUUAAAUGAGAACAGCCGCCGUGGCCGACAUCGCCUGGAUGGCAUCGGAUGGAUUGCCUGAAAUGAAUAAAAUGUUCAACCACAAUACCUAGAUUCAUCGAGAGAAAGCGAUUAGUUUCAGAGAGCUAAUUGCUACUGAUUAUUGUGAUUUUACCCGUAAAAAUUUAUAAUUUAAAGUAGUUUGUAAUCAUGAGUAUAAUCACGUGUUCAAUUAUCGGUCAAUAAUUACCAGUUACCCUACCUAAUCAAAUUAAAUCAAACACGUUAAUAUAUGUCGAUUAGCACAAAGAAAAAAAUAACUUCCGAUAGGGCAGUCACUUCUUGUCAACAGCUGAGUACAGCUACAUGCGGUUAGACUGAAAGCCGACCCCAACAUAGUUGGGAAAAGGCUCGGAAGAUGAUGAGCACAUAUAAAAAAAAAAAAAUACGAAUGAUGAAUUAAAACAAAAAUGACUGUUUUUUAAUUUUCAGGCAAACGACAGGGGUUACAUGAUAUUGUCUCUUCAGGACCUGCGGAAUACCUCCAAAAACGUUAUAAUGCCAUCAGAAACCAGACAACAGUUGGAAAUACGGACUAUUUACCUAAGGGUAUAAAAUACUAAUUUACCACCAUUUUUUAUUUAUUAUCCUUAACUUCCGCACGCGACUUCUCUUGGGGCCCGAGGUAAGCUAAAAAAACGGGUAGUCGUAAAUAAAUUAGUACUUAAUAUUUCAAUGAGGAACGAAGAUAUAAAUAUAAGUAAAGGAAAAAGAGCCCUAGGCAUCUUUAUUUUCUUAAUAUAGCUGUAGUUACCGGUUCUCAGACAAAUUGUAAAAAGGUAGGAACACACAAGGUUCUUCCAAUUCGUAAAUAAAAAAAGUUAAAUGAAUUCGUGGUGGCCUAGUGGGUAAAGAAAAAGGCUAGGCAGAUGAUGUGCCCACUCAAUCAUCCUCAUCCUCUGGCCCUCGUCCCAAUUUUAUUUGGGUUCGGCGCAGCUAGUUUUCUCCUUUUCUAGUCAUAAUUAUAUUCGGACCUUCAGGUACAUACGGCCGCCUGCCUGACGCGAACCCUCCUUGGGAGUGCUAGCGAGGUGGUUUGUUCGCCAAAUUGCGAGUAGCCCAAAGUGCUGGUGGAAUGCACUAGGCCUUAGCUCCCUUAGUCACCUCUUACGACAUCCACGGGAGAGAGAUCGGGUGGUCCUAUUCUGAUCCGGGACGGUAACGGAUGUGCCUACUCAAAUGGAGUCAAAGUUAUUUUGCUAUCCGACUGCGGAUAAAAUUACAGGAAACGAUUUCUUUAUAAGAAUUGAAUACAAGGAUGCGCUUUCGCACGGUGUAUCCCAAACUCAACUGACGCGCAAAUAUCGUUAAGGACAAGAAAGGCUACUCUCAUCCAUAUUUAUUCCUAGCAUUUAUAUAUUUUUAGCCACACCUGAACAAGUGGUCUUUACACACAGUCGUCUUUAAGAUGAAGUUUUUAUAUGUUUUGUUGAUUUUCUUUGGGAUCGGCUGUUCUUAUGGGCAAGAUAUUGCGAAUGCAGCUGCUGCUGGGCCAUACCGCCCAUUAGUUCCUGUUGAAUAUAUUAUAAACAAUAGCAACGAGGACGCCAAUUUAGCAGGUAAACGGAUACCAGGGUUUCAUAUGCUUGUAUUAUCAGGACCAUUGGAAUACUUCCGUCAACGAUAUGAUGCCAUCAAGUUAAGAGUUGUAAAACCUGAAUGUUUACCUAAGAAUAUAAAAUACUAAUUUAAGAUUA
rnacentral:lncRNA from 1 species